rnacentral:misc_RNA from 1 species
GGUGUACUGCGUGAAGCUCUUUCCAGCCACAACACAAUGUCCAAGAAGCAGGAGGUCAAGACGUAUGGCCCGAACGUGAAGAAGGGAGACCUCGUUUACGGUGUCGUGCACAUCUUCGCCUCCUUCAAUGACACAUUCGUGCACGUGACAGACACGUCCGGCCGCGAAACAUACGUGAAAGUUACUGGCGGUAUGAAGGUGAAGGCCGAUCGCGAUGAGUCUUCCCCCUACGCUGCGAUGAUGGCCGCCCAGGACGUCGUGGCGCGUUGCAAGGAGUGCGGAAUCAACGCCCUGCACGUCAAGAUGCGCGCCGUCGGUGGUGUGCGCACCAAGUCCCCUGGCCCUGGCGCCCAGGCCGCCCUCCGCGCGCUCGCCCGUGCUGGGAUGAAGAUUGGCCGCAUCGAGGAUGUCACCCCGAUCCCGACCGAUUCCACCCGCCGCAAGGGCUCCCGCCGUGGUCGCCGCCUGUAGGCCUCGAUGCAUGUACCUGAGCACGUGCCUUCGAAUCGCCUUUCGAAUGCGAGCCUACUCUGGCGAAUCGCUGCAUGUGAGCAUGCGCGCGUUUGUGUCUGCGUGUGUUGCGGCUUGUCGGCGAGUGCGCUAGCCAGUGCUUGCCUCUGCGUCCUUCCGGCAUCAGCACGAAUAGAGGCGAAGAAAAGGUGCGUGCAUCCGGCACGCGUAUACGCUCGCCGGAGUGGGUGCAUCGAAUGCGGCAGGGCCAAACAUAAGAACAGGGAGGCGUAACGGAGUGGCGGCAGCCGUUUCCUCGGUGUGCUACCCGCCUCCCUCACUGCUAGUCUGGCGGAAGCAGGCGGUGGUGGCAGAGGUGAAGCCUCUCGUGCUGUCGCACCUUGACGAUCUCUUUGGGUGCACUCGCGCGCACAUGCAGGACCACGCAGUUAUGUGUCCCAUCCUAAUUUCUCCGUUGAUUUUGUCCUUCUCUGAUUUUGGGUUCUUCUCCCUCUUUCUCAAAACGAAAACAAAAAGAUGAAGAGAGAGACGUGCACGGUACGCCACCAUUUGGCGGGCUGUGCAUCCGCUGACUAUCCCACAACCCGCAGGAAAUCGGCGCGAUGAAGCCUUCUCUGUGCGUGUGCCGUUAGGGAGUGCGUGUGAGGGUGUGUGGGGCGGUGAAGGAGCCAGCUCAUGAGCCGCUUCAUCUAUGUUGGCAUAUGCGCGAGCACACGCACACACGCAACUUGUGAGCCAGGAAGGGCCUGCCAUGGGAAACACUAAAGAGGAGAAGAAAAGCGGAGGCGCGCGCACGGUGGGCUGCAGUUGCGGUUGCAGAGCUCUACACCAUACGGUCUAGACAGUCUCGGUCACUGCAUCCUUUUACAAUCACCUAUUCUUGUCUUACUGCCUCUGUGCUGGAGCCUCCGUUCUCGAACCCUCUCUGCUCUUCCACUUUUCCAUGCCCCUUUUAGUACUUUUGGAACGAUGGUGGACGCUCACCCUAUGCUACCUACCUCACCCCGCUUCUCUUCCUUCUCUACUUGACGUUGCCUGCACUGGUCACCGUUUUUGGCGCGUCCGCGCGAACCUCUCCCCCUCCCUCGCCUUCACCUCUUCCAG